rnacentral:rRNA from 1 species
CCUACGGGAGGCAGCAGUGAGGAAUAUUGGUCAAUGGUCGGGAGACUGAACCAGCCAAGCCGCGUGAGGGAUGAAGGUACAGAGUAUCGUAAACCUCUUUUGUCAGGGAACAAAGGCGGGGACGUGUCCCCGGAUGAGUGUACCUGAAGAAAAAGCAUCGGCUAACUCCGUGCCAGCAGCCGCGGUAAUACGGAGGAUGCGAGCGUUAUCCGGUUUGAUUGGGUUUAAAGGGUGCGCAGGCGGUCUGUUAAGUCAGCGGUCAAAGCCCGGGGCCAAACCCCGGCCCGCCGUUGAAACUGGCAGUCUCGAGUUGGAGAGAGGUAUGCGGAAUGCGCGGUGUAGCGGUGAAAUGCAUAGAUAUCGCGCAGAACUCCGAUUGCGAAGGCAGCAUGCCGGCUCCACACUGACGCUGAGGCACGAAAGCGUGGGUAUCGAACAGGAUUAGAUACCCGGGUAGUC